rnacentral:tRNA from 1 species
GCUCCCAUAGCUCAACUGGAUAGAGCACGAGCCUUCUAAGCUCGGGGUUGUAGGUUCGAGUCCUACUGGGAGUACCA